AAAAGGCAGUAAACAUCACCAACAAUGUAUCCCGAGCAUACAUUCUGUGACGCACUAACAAAAGCAAUCACUAUAAAUCACGUUGGUCAAGGACGUGAUUCCGCGACGCCGCGCCCCUGAGCGGGCGGCGGCAACGGCCCGCGGAGUCCCUUUUCCAGGCAAACCCGCCACCGCGUGGACCCGAGCGGAACCGCACCGCCGGCCGGGAACGCCCACGCCGGGAGCCUGUCACCGCGACCGCGGACCCGCGAGCCAGACCCCAAAGGGGAAAGCUGAGGGGCCCACGCAGUGGCGGUCAGGACAGAGCCCGGGGAGUCCUGAGCAACCAUGCCCCCCCACCCCCGCCCCCACGCCCAGAGGAAGCUGUUCUCCGAGGAACCUUGACCUCCAGGCCAGAUGGAGACCGCAGCGAGGUGAGCGUGAGACCCUCUGCACGUCCCUCCCCACCCUUGGUUUGGUGGCCCGCGUCUGGGCUAGAUGACACCCUCCCUCCAGCACAAGGAGUAAGGGUGAUGGCCCGGAGACGCACCGUGGGGCUGGGUGAAGGGAGACUGGUUCUGCUGUGGUUUCUCCCGCAGCCGGCCCAGAAGAGCCUACUUGUCUCGUUGACUGUCUGUCCCCCUGGACUCUCAGCCCCUUGGAGGCAGGGACUAUGUCCUUCUCAUCUGUGAAAAACACAGGGCCUAGCACUGGGCCUGACAAAUGGCGGUAUUCAGUCAAUGUGUGACGGAAGAAGAAGGGGCGGGGGGGGGGCAUAAACUGGAGUUAGGUGACACAAGAGCCUUCCAAGUGGAUGGUGACCAGAGGAUUGGUCAGGGGACUUUGUUAAGAGGCCUUGUCCUCAAACAGGUGCACCAGUGCACCAGUGCUGAAGCCUUCACAGACGGCAACAGAAACCUGGAGACGCUUCUCCCCCCACAUGCACUCCCCUUAGGCUUGGGGGGAGGGAGAUUGUUCUUUUAAUUUUCAACAUUAUUGUUUUUUAAUUUCAAACCUACAAAAACAUUAAAAGAAUAAAGCAAAGAAACCAGUAUGUCUUGCGCUUAAA
rnacentral:lncRNA from 1 species